CCUUAAAAACGGCGAGUGAAGCGGCAAAAGCUCAAAUUUGAAAUCUGGUACCUUCGGUGCCCGAGUUGUAAUUUGGAGAGGGCAACUUUGGGGCCGUUCCUUGUCUAUGUUCCUUGGAACAGGACGUCAUAGAGGGUGAGAAUCCCGUGUGGCGAGGAGUGCGGUUCUUUGUAAAGUGCCUUCGAAGAGUCGAGUUGUUUGGGAAUGCAGCUCUAAGUGGGUGGUAAAUUCCAUCUAAAGCUAAAUAUUGGCGAGAGACCGAUAGCGAACAAGUACAGUGAUGGAAAGAUGAAAAGAACUUUGAAAAGAGAGUGAAAAAGUACGUGAAAUUGUUGAAAGGGAAGGGCAUUUGAUCAGACAUGGUGUUUUGUGCCCUCUGCUCCUUGUGGGUAGGGGAAUCUCGCAUUUCACUGGGCCAGCAUCAGUUUUGGUGGCAGGAUAAAUCCAUAGGAAUGUAGCUUGCCUCGGUAAGUAUUAUAGCCUGUGGGAAUACUGCCAGCUGGGACUGAGGACUGCGACGUAAGUCAAGGAUGCUGGCAUAAUGGUUAUAUGCCGCCCGUCUUGAACCACGGACCAAU
rnacentral:rRNA from 1 species